AGUGAACGCUGGCGGUAGGCCUAACACAUGCAAGUCGAACGACAGCACAGUAAGAGCUUGCUCUUACGGGUGGCGAGUGGCGGACGGGUGAGGAAUACAUCGGAAUCUACUUUUUCGUGGGGGAUAACGUAGGGAAACUUACGCUAAUACCGCAUACGACCUACGGGUGAAAGCAGGGGAUCUUCGGACCUUGCGCGAUUGAAUGAGCCGAUGUCGGAUUAGCUAGUUGGCGGGGUAAAGGCCCACCAAGGCGACGAUCCGUAGCUGGUCUGAGAGGAUGAUCAGCCACACUGGAACUGAGACACGGUCCAGACCCCUACGGGAGGCAGCAGUGGGGAAUAUUGGACAAUGGGCGCAAGCCUGAUCCAGCCAUACCGCGUGGGUGAAGAAGGCCUUCGGGUUGUAAAGCCCUUUUGUUGGGAAAGAAAAGCAGCAGGUUAAUACCCCGCUGUUCUGACGGUACCCAAAGAAUAAGCACCGGCUAACUUCGU
rnacentral:rRNA from 1 species